UACGGAGGGGGCUAGCGUUGUUCGGAAUUACUGGGCGUAAAGCGCACGUAGGCGGUUCUUGUAAGUUAGAGGUGAAAGCCCGGAGCUCAACUCCGGAAUUGCCUUUAAGACUGCAUCGCUUGAAUCCAGGAGAGGUGAGUGGAAUUCCGAGUGUAGAGGUGAAAAUUCGUAGAAUAUUCGGAAGAACACCAGUGGCGAAGGCGGCUCACUGGACUGGUAUUGACGCUGAGG
rnacentral:rRNA from 1 species